CAGCAGUGCUUCUCCCCCAAGGCUGGGGCGAUGGAAUCAGUUAGACUAUUGAGGGCAUCUGGAAGGGCAUCUGUGUCAGGGUUAGUCCUCAGGGUAUGGUGGCCAAUGGGUUUCUUUUGGUUGACUGUUGACAAUGCGUUUGUUGAAUGGCAGCCUGCACUAGGUGACGCUGAAGCCACAGAAGACACUGCAGUGGGAAAACCAGCAUGAGCCGCUGCCCCCAAGGAACCUCGAAGCCCAGGCAGAGGACCAGCCAUCCCAGCCCGCAGGUAAAGUGUGUCACCUGUCAGGUGGGCUUGGGGUGAGUGGGUGGGGGAAGUGUGUGUGCAAAGGGGGUGUGAGUGUGUAUGUGUGUGAGCACAUGAGUGAUGGCUAGUGUGACUGCAUGUCAGGGAGUGUGAACAAGCGUGCGAGGGUUGUGUGCAAGUGCGUAUGCAUAUGAGAAUAUGUGUCUGUGGAUGAGUGCAUUUGAAAGUCUGUGUGUGUGUGGUCAUGAGGGUAAGUUAGUGACUGAAUGCGCAGGAUGUGAGUGUGCAUGGAACACUCAGUGUGUGUGUGGCAAGUGUGUAGGCGUGUGAGGACAGGCAGAAGUGUGUCAGUGUUGUGAUGGGAGUGUGAAUGAGUGUGCAAAAAGGUGAGUGAAUGCAUGGAAGUGUGUGUCAACUAUGAAGGCAUGUAGUGUGUCAGUGUGUGCAGUGCAAGCAUGUGUGGGAAUGAGUGCUUGUUGGUGUGUCCAUAUCCAACGGGUAUGUGUGAAAGCAUGUAGUGUGUCAGUGUGUGCAGUGCAAGCAUGUGUGGG
rnacentral:lncRNA from 1 species